rnacentral:rRNA from 1 species
GUAGGUGGCAAGCGUUGUCCGGGAAUUAUUGGGGCGUAAAGCGCGCGCAGGCGGUUCUUUAAGUCUGAUGUGAAAGCCCACGGGCUCAACCGUGGAGGGUCAUUGGAAACUGGAGAACUUGAGUACAGAAGAGGAAAGCGGAAUUCCACGUGUAGCGGUGAAAUGCGUAGAGAUGUGGAGGAACACCAGUGGCGAAGGCGGCUUUCUGGUCUGUAACUGACGCUGAGGCGCGAAAGCGUGGGGAGCAAACAGGAUCAGAUACCCUGGUAGUCCACGCCGUAAACGAUGAGUGCUAAGUGUUAGGGGGUUUCCGCCCCUUAGUGCUGCAGCUAACGCAUUAAGCACUCCGCCUGGGGAGUACGGCCGCAAAGGCUGA